rnacentral:sRNA from 1 species
AAGAUUAUAUACAUCUGUCAAUGGGAACUAUUUUAAGCUACUUUCUUUUUAUCUACAGAUUUGCGGAUUCGUUGCAACAAAAACAAUUAAUGAUAACUGCGGCCCACGGGAAGAUUGGAAAGAAGGUUUGAUGGCCUUUGAGGACACUUUGUUGAUUGAAAGGUACGUGAAUGUUCAACUGCUGGACAUC